rnacentral:rRNA from 1 species
CCUACGGGUGGCUGCAGUGGGGAAUAUUGGACAAUGGGCGAAAGCCUGAUCCAGCCAUGCCGCGUGUGUGAAGAAGGCCUUCGGGUUGUAAAGCACUUUCAGUGGGGAAGAAAGCCUUGGGGCUAAUACCCUCGAGGAAGGACAUCACCCACAGAAGAAGCACCGGCUAACUCCGUGCCAGCAGCCGCGGUAAUACGGAGGGUGCGAGCGUUAAUCGGAAUUACUGGGCGUAAAGCGCGCGUAGGCGGUCUGAUAAGCCGGUUGUGAAAGCCCGGGCUCAACCUGGGAACGGCAUCCGGAACUGUCAGGCUAGAGUGCAGGAGAGGAAGGUAGAAUUCCCGGUGUAGCGGUGAAAUGCGUAGAGAUCGGGAGGAAUACCAGUGGCGAAGGCGGCCUUCUGGACUGACACUGACGCUGAGGUGCGAAAGCGUGGGUAGCAAACAGGAUUAGAUACCCUGGUAGUC